AAAAAGGAAUGAUCAAAACAAGAAAAAUUUCACCGUGAUGGAGCAACGUGGUUUCUGUCUUUUCGUAUUUCCGGCUGGUGAAACUCCGAAGCAGGUACUGGACGUUCCCGAGAUAGGUAUGCUGAAAUCGGGAAUAGUCUGCACCUACUGCGCAGCCCCCUCCGCUUUCAUAGACCGAUGGUGGUUCUAAUUUCCUGGCCCGAGAGGUUUGCCACACGGAGAACGACGGUUGGCUUGAUUCCUUCCCUGCCCCAGCCAAAGGUGUUUUAUUUCUCUGGGAGGUACGGAAAGCCAGGGGUUCGAUGACGUGUUUCGUGUGUUGGCUACCGCCAAAAUAACUGUGUGAUUUUAGACGACGUUGACUACUUGCGCAUCACCUUUGUGACAGUGCACGGAUGUAGCUGCAUUUGACGGAACUGAUGUCACUCUUCACUCAGGCAAGGAUCCAAGGCCGAAUUCUAGAUUUGUACCAGCUUCGCCAUCCAGUGACUCUACGGAUUCCUGCAGAGUUGGACGUAUCCCGAACUUCCGCCAGAAAUCGUAGCCCAGGAUGCAUCGCCGGUUCAAAUCGGGGGCGACAAGUACGGACAACAACCUGGUGACCCCAUUGAAGGUGACCGGGAUAUCUACGGCCCCUAUGACCUCCAGAUGUUGGCCUCCAGCUGUUGAGAGUUUGAUGUUGGAAUCGAGUUGACGUUUGCGGCUAACAUGGCGAUUCGACAGUCCUCGCGGGUGUUCCGGAACAGCAAAUCGAACCGACGUUUUUCGUCCCACGGAAUGGAAAGACUACGGAAGAUCCGCACCAUGUCCAGGUAGUAGUCUUGGAAUUUCUCCCUGGCUCCCUGUCGACGGUUACAAGCCUGCCGUUCGUAAACGUAGUCCAUGUCUACAGGUCGAUACGCAACAACCGCUCGCACUGGCUGCGCGUCAUGCUCGGAUCGAACGGAAUUUUCCGGAUGUUAAGCUCAUGCUCGAGUUCAUCGAUGGUGAGAUGAGCUGGGUUCAACGCGUGGUACUGCGAGAGAAGGUGUGACAUCUCCAUAGUUUUAAUAUCACAGGUGAAUAAAAUUUACUUUGAAUUUACUAAUUUUCCUAAUUACGCUCCACAAUUUUUAAAAUCUAAGCUAAAAAGUACAAAAAUAAGCUUUAACAAAAAUUUAUCCAAUCACAAACGAUACAGUACAAUGCGACUAGAAUAAAACGUUUGGGUAGUGGGUUACAAAACUAUAAUAAAUUAAAAUUUUCAAAUUUGACUAUUAAGUUUAAGAAACGUAAGCACAGACAAAACAGUUUAAAAAAACGACAAUCAAAAUCGAAUAGCAAAAGUUGACUAGUAAUAAGAUGAGGGGAAUAAAAUUGAUUGGGUUUGGGUUCUUGUUUGAAUUCUCUUUUCCACCCCCCACCGAGAAAGAAAAUUUUCCGGAUUUCCGAGAAAAUUUUAUCUUCGACCUAAAAUGUUUUUCAAAACGUUUUCAACUAGUUGGUUACUAUUCGAAAUUUCUUUGGAUGUCCAAGACCCCUCGAAUCGGAAACAAAUCGAAUUCGAACUGGUUGUUUCCCACUAGGUGUAGUGUGUUAAGGCAAAUUUCCAAGAGGUUCUGGGCGUUUUCCCAGAGACCCAAGCAGAAGUGGCUUCAGAGAAAAGUGUCUGCCGAGCGUAUCCAAAUCGCAAAAGCAACUUUUACGUUAUGGGCGCCAAGUAUAACAAAUGUGUCGGCUAGCGGGUUCAGCGGUGCUGAAACUCCCCUAUAUAUGCCUCAGGGUCGGCUUAAGCUAAGAGACGAUUCGGCUAGCCAAGAAAACACCUUAUCUGCUUUGAAACCUCCCACGUUUAUUUCUACCCUGGUUUUGGUAAGUGCACACUUGGGACAACGUCCCCCCCCUUAUGUCUACCUCCUACCUCGUAUCUGCAAUGGCACCACGGAUGCGUCGGUUGAACGGCGAUACACCUCCUUCGUCUAACCGGCCUGACGGUUUACCAAGCCCAAUACCGGACCAAGUUGGUUGUAGGUCGGUAACCUCAGCUGCGUUGUUGACGAGCUGACGAUCUUGGGAAACACCGGCGGGAGACCUUCACAGCAAUCACUGACCGAUGCUCGGGUAGUUGACGGACCGAAGCCUCGGUGGCUGACCGUAGGUAGAUUUAGGCGGUAAUAGCGCUUCGCUGAGUUAUGGCCACUGGAUUAGGGAGCGAUGGCAGCAAUGGCGGAUUUCACUCGGGACGAACAACACCUUUCACAAAGGUAAAACCUCGGGGUCCUAUGGGGUAUCAGGAUGGGGUAUUAGAAUGGCGUUGAAGAACGGUUGUCACAGCUGCUACAGGGCAUGGUUCCGUAUUUACCUGGAUACCCUGGAAUCUAGCACUUCCGGAUUCCGUGUUUUCACUACUAGCACAAUAUAUAAGCGUAAUUUGCGCCGUUGCGUGCUGGCGUCUUUGGCUACUGCAGUGAAAUGGCCGAUUUAUGGCAGGUCAUUGGCCCUGUAGCCGCGUAUAAUGACUUGAGACGUCAUCGUUCUUUCGCCCCAUCCUGAUACUCGAUUCGCCUCGCCUUUUCGCCGCAUUAAAACAGCGCCAUCUGGUCGUGAGGUUCAGAACUUGCCGUUGACAGUUGCUUUUCGGGUUGGUGCGUAGGGGUUCAGGGGUGGACUCCAACGCAGAGCGAUUCCUCCACAAAUACAGUGUCUUCUUGGCACAUUUACACAUUAUCACGAAUUAGAGAUCAACAACCACUGACACUACUAACCGAGCACUUGUUACAAAUUUGAAUUUUUUUGCUUGAUUACUUCUAUACCAAGAAAAUUGUUUUGAACCCCCUUCCCAUUUCUUAUGUACCCAUUGGAAAAAAUAUGGUAUUUCAAAUAAUCAUAAAACCAUUUC